GUCGUACAGGUUUCCGUAGGUGAACCUGCGGAAGGAUCAUUAAUGAAUUUAGAUUGAACCAUANGCGGAAGCCAGUGGUUCUUCUUUCAUAUCCAUAACACCUGUGCACUGUUGGAUGCUUGCAUCCACUUUUAAACUAAACAUUAUUGUAACAAAUGUAGUCUUAUUAUAACAUAAUAAAGCUUUCAACAACGGAUCUCUUGGCUCUCGCAUCGAUGAAGAACGCAGCGAAAUGCGAUAAGUAAUGUGAAUUGCAGAAUUCAGUGAAUCAUCGAAUCUUUGAACGCACCUUGCGCUCCUUGGUAUUCCGAGGAGCAUGCCUGUUUGAGUGUCAUGAAACCCUCAAACCCAAGUUUUGGAUUUCGAUCCAUGCUUGAGUUUGGAUUUGGAUGUUUGCCGGUGAUGAACCGACUCAUCUUAAAAGUAUUAGCUUGGAUCUGUCUAUAUGACUGGUUUGACUUGGCAUAAUAAGUAUUUUGCUGAGGACAUCUUCGGAUGGCCAGGACCUAGACUACUGUCUGCUAACUAAACCAUCACUUUAAGUGCAUCUUUGGAUGUUACUCAUUGUGUAACUUUGACAUCUGGCCUCAAAUCAAGUAGGACUACCCGCUGAACUUAAGCAUAUCAAU
rnacentral:rRNA from 1 species